rnacentral:lncRNA from 1 species
GGGAGAUGACUGGCUGUUCACUCCAAGAUCAGUAACUGAUGAUCAAAAACUGAUCACAUGUCUGCAGGACACCAACUUCUGAGGCCUGCAGAUGCUCUAAACUGACCUGAAACUGCUAUUUGUGUUCCAGCAAAUCCUGAUGAACGCUGCCGGUUCAAGGAGUAUAGACGGUUACUACGACAAUUGCCCGACAACAACAAAGCUACACUGAAUGCGCUGUUUGGACACUUCUACAUGGUUCAGGUCUUCUCUCAGGAGAAUAAGAUGUCUGCUUACAACCUGGCCGUGGUUCUGGCUCCAUCUCUGUUUCAGAUGAUGAAUCAGGACAUGAUUCAGCUCACCAAAGAGUUCAUCAUCCACCACACGCUGCUCUUCCUGACUCCAGAGAAGCAGAAGCCUGUGGAGGAGGAGGUGGAGGAGGAGAUCACCAUCCUCUGAUGAAUCUGAAGGAGUUUGACUUUUCAGACCAAACCACAGGGGAGGUUUCGGUUCUCUGGAUUUGUUCCGACCCGGACUUUGAUCGUUGAAGCUCUCUCUGCCAUGUGGUGCCUCCUGCUGGCCCUGGUGUGUCCGCUUUUAUACUAGGGGUUUGUUUUAUAGGACAGACACAGGAUCGUUGUAGUUUUUGUGUAUUCUGGUUUUGGAUCAGCAGAACUGAUUCUGUUUUAUCUGAACCAACCUCUUUACUGCUUUCAGUUUAUUAUCAGCACUUACACAGAACUGGAGCUCAGAACUAAAGAAGGUCCUUCAUGAUCGCUUAACUCUAACUUUUUAUCAGAACCUACAAUAAUUCUUUAGUUAAUCAAGAACCCACUUUCGUUAAUUUGGGUUCCUUCAGUUUAAGAAUAUAAAGUUUUAUAUUUGUUUUAACCCAAUAAGUCCUAAUAAAAACAACCUGUUCCAAUUGAGAAUAGCUUUUUCUCAUCACAUCAAACUUUUCUCUAUCCACCUUCUACACGUGGUUUGUCCUGCACAUGGUUGUUCAUGAAGAUGCUGGAGUCUGUACCAGCUGUUAGGUGAAUUACACCCUGGACCGAUCACCAGUCAUUUAAGUGUUACUCCUCGGUUCCUGGUCAUCCUAUCUUCAUUAACCCUCGAUACACCUCUGUUCCUCAUCAUUUCAUCAUCAUCGUCUCCUCUUUAUUCUACUUUUUCCUCUGGCUAUGUUCUUCUUCAUUCCAUCUCUAAUCUUCAUCUGUUUUUCCUCAUUCCAGCUCUGUGUCUCUUCAUAUAAUUCAUUUUUCUUCACUUGUGUUGCUGAGGUAAGAUCGCAGGUUCACUCCCGGUCGUGCCCUCCUAUGUGUUGAAGUGCCCUUGGGCAAGACACUGAACCCCACAUUACACGUGGUUAUAGGUUGGUGCCUCUGUUUUGCAGUGGAACCGCCUUAAAUGUGUGUGGAUGAAUGUGACUGUUAAGUACUUUGAGCCCUGCUGCAGCAAAGUGGAGAAGUGCUACACCACCAUGCACUAAUUACCUUCCUCCUUAGAUCCCUCUCAUUUUGCCUCUAAUCCUCUUUAUUACUCCUCUGUUGUUCCCUUGAUCAAUCUCAUUCCACUUUGGUUACCCACUCAUUUCAAGUCUUUGUCACAAUUGCUUUUAUGGCUGGAUUCAGGCAGUCUGCUGGCAAAAAAAAAAUCGGCAAACCUGUAUGGGGCGAGCAGAUGACGCCCACAAAAGAUAAAAGUUGUAGACCGUUGGGUGAACCUGCAGAGAGAAAAUAUUCAGGCACAUUUUUUUCUACGGGCAUGAUGCGGGCGUCAGGUUGUAGCGAACGCUUAUGCAGCUCAUAAGGGAAAGUAAAGGUAAGGUAGGUGACACAGGUGUGUUGUACAGAUUUUCCAUUUCUUCAGCCACUUCCAAAUCUUGCACUGUUGGUUCUGUUCAAAUAGGAAGUGUGUGCUCCUUGUGUUCAGUCUUAUAGUUAAAAAUUAGAAAAUUACAAAGGGUAGUUUGUGUGGACAUUCUAUGUAUGACGUGCUCACCCCAUUUCUGAAGCAUUUAAGGAGCCUGCAUAUGCACUUUACCAACGACUAGAGCAGGAUCUGGCUCGCCAAACUGGAAUAAAAUAUUUUGAUAAUACUAACCAAUAGUUUGAUUUUCCUGGAAUUCCAGUGUCACCCAAUAGAUGGUGCACUACAAAUACAAUAACCUUUAUUUAGGUGCAGAAAGGUUAUUGCAUUCAUGUGGCGUUAAAAGUAGGGGUCGCGUUAAUCACAAUUAAUUACAGACAAAUUGCGUUAAUUUUUAUUUGUUUAUCGCAUUAGUCUAAUUUUUAAUCUAAAGCUGUUGUCAAGUUCUCAAAUAUAAAAACCGCGUGAGGCUGGGGUCAGCACGUGCCCUGGGAGGAGGACUUGCCUGAGUCCGGGGUUGGGUUGGGGCCAUCGUGAUUGGCCUGCUAGGGCCACAGGUACCUCCCGUUGGCUCGGCCGGGGUUGAUGGGGGCUGGCGGUGGAACACUUAGCCACCUGGAGGGGGUGGGGCGCUUGUGGUGAGUGGGGGUCGUCUGAUGGGUCUGGGGUUCAGGUGAUUGGGGACCAGAGCUCCCAAUGGGGGCUGGGAGCAGGGGCUCUGCUCUGGGACUUGGGGAUGGUAUUUAGCCCUGCCCCUCCUGAGCUGUACGGUCUCGGGGACUGGUGCACUCUCCGGCGCAUCUGCCACACUGAGCGGCUUGACCUGGUGCGUCGUGUUCGGAUGAGGGUCGGGAGGUCCAGGGUGUCCCCAGCCUUUGCCCAAAAGUGGGGAUAGGCUCCAGCAGCCCCGUGACCCCAAAAAAGGAACAAACUGAUUAGAGGAAGAAUUAAGGAUUUUUUUAAGUUUGUCAAUUCUUCUUGUGACCGUUUCUGAGUUGCUGUGAGUCGUACCCAUUACAAAAACAUUUGUGUCAUCAGCAAACGGAAGAUAUUUUAGUAUGUUGGAUACCUUAAAAAAAUCAUUUACAUAAAUAAUUUAAGUCACAGUAUUGACCCUUAUGGGACACCACAAACAAUGUCCAAACAUUGGGAACUACCUACUUUCAAAUUGCUUUCUGUUGCUUGAAUAGUUUUUAAUCCAGUUAUAUCCUGUUCCCCUGAUGCCACAUCGUUCCAGUUUUUUAACAACAUGCUGUGUUUAUAUCUGUUACUACUACUGUCUGCUGACUGGAACACACGUGUAUGAGGAUGCACUUAAACGUACAUGAUGGGGACGUUGGGUGAAACUGGAAGUUUAAAAUUCGUACUCAUAAGUUUAGACUUUUGUGUUGAGAAAUCAAACAUUCAUGGGUUUUGUGUGUGAUCCCAGCUUCUGUCAUUAAAAAAAGGAGAUGGCAGCAUUUGAUCACCUUAGUUUAUUAACAGGAACACUUUGAGCACAAUGCAGAACAAGAAGUUACUUCAAAAACUACAAAAGAGAUUAAAAACACUCUCACACCCUCACAUACGUACAAACUCACACAGUUACACACUAAGCAUGCAGCAUAAGUCCAGUUAAUACAGAAGGAAAUUUACCAGAGAGCAGCUGAUCAGCAGGAUGAAACAGGAGCAGCAAAGUCUGACUGUCACCUGUCAGGAGGAGGUCAACCAACGUAUUUGAUGCUGUGUCUAAAUUCCAAGUUCAAAUGCUGAUGAGAAAAAUGGUGGGAGGAUCAGACAACCAACAACAAUCUAGACUCCAACCUGGCAACCUGCAAUGAAGGUGACCAACAGUCAUCAACACUUGAUCACUCACAGAGCGAGCUAACCCGAAACCGAAAUAAGGCUGAACUGG